GAAAAAAAUAUGUAUGAAUUUACGGUCAGAAGAAAAGCUUGAAGUGAAUGAUUUAAUCCAAACAGAAUGUAAUGAGUCACCACCUGCAUCAGGCUCAAUGCCAGAUAUUGGAUCCCAGUACCAGGGAGCUCAAGAAAGAUUAAAGAAUGUCUACUUAACUAAUAGUAGGACAUUAAAUAUUACAGGGCAAAUUUUUAUUUUUAAAAAAUCAAACUGCUGCAUUUUACCCAAUUUUCAUCUACAUUAGGAAUGCAUGAUAUUUAAAAAAAGAAAAUACAAAACUUUCGAGCAAAGUAUCUGAGAUGACUGUUUUAUUAUUUUAUUUGGUAAAACAAAAAUAAAUCAACAGUCAAAGAAUACUGUUGCCAUCCUCUCCAAUUGCCACCACCAAAAAUGUUAGCAAAUAAAUAUAAUCUUUUUAUGUUAAAAAGAACCUAAACCCAGGGGUUUUCAGCUCUGAGUAGAAAGACCAUUUUUAUACCUCCCUCUUCUAUCAUUUUUCCUCCUUUCUUCCUUCCUUUCCCUCCCUUCUUCCCUCCUUUCUUCUUUCUUUCUUCCUGUCCUCCCUCUUACUCUUUCUUUUCCUGAUUUUUCUCUUUCUCCUCCUCCCCCUCUUUCUUUCCCUCCCUUCAGGAAAAUAGAAAGCCAAUAUAUUGAGCUGAAAUAUCUCAGGCUUUAAAUGAAGACGGUGGCCCCCAACUAAUGUCCGAGUUAAAAUAUUCAGUACAAAGAUAUACAUUAGCUUUGACACUGAUUCAGCCCAGACCAAAAGCUGGAGAAUACAUUAGUUUUUAAGAUUUGAAUUACAAUUAUGGUUUUUGCAGUAAAUAAGAUUCAGAAUAAAAUUUUACAAAAGCAAAACAACUCAAGUAAAAAAAAUACGGUGCUUUGAUAAAUCUCAAAUUUAAAUAUUGCUUCAAUAUUCUUUAUUUUAUUGUGAUUAAAAUUUUCUGAAGUUUUGCUAAAGAGAUCAAUCUUUUAAACGUCUUGACUUUAUAUUUUUACUAUGGUCCUGACACUAUACUCUGUGUGGUGACAGGCACAACAUGUGUAGGAUUUGCCCCCUUGCCAUAUAGGAGCUGACAAUAGAAUGGUGAAACGCCAUUGCAAGUGACAAUAACAACAAAUACUGGACAACACAUGAGGAGAAGCAGAGUACUAACAAAUCAUAGAUGUAGAAGAGAAUUUCCAUUUGGGACUAUUAAAAACGUUUAUAGCUUGAAAUAAUAAAAUUGAUUUAAUUGUAUUUGCAUUCAUUAGAAAUGAUACUAUUUUAGGCUAUUCUGCUAUCCUCUGCAGCAAGGUGAGGAUGGAACUACUCAUGCUUUCACUUAUUGGUGUCUCUACUAAAUAUGCAAAACAUAGUAUAAUUAAUUUAUAAUUUAAAAAGUCUUAUUAUUUUAGAACUCGAUGAAUAUCUUGAAUGAUUAACUAAACUUUGGUUUGUUGACUUCAAAAAUGAAUUUUUCCCAGACUUAUUUUUUAUUUUGUUUUGAAAUCAGAGUACAAUUUUAAGAAAAAUUUAACCCACAUGUUUUUAUUCAUCACUGCUUAAAUUAUUUAAGUACAUUAUUGUUUUUCAUGGAUAUUUUAUGUUCUAAAGACGUCUUGAGCUAUUUUAAUAACAUUGUUAUUCUCAUAAAACACAAUAGUUAUUUUUUAACCAGAGAAUUACAAAACAGUCUGGAAGAAAAAUAAACCUCAAGUCUUGACUCUUUGAACACUUUUUUUUUAAGUAUGUUGCUACCACAGUUAAAAGACCAUGGGUGUAGCCACCUUAGGAAAGAGAAAAGAGUUGGACCCAAACCAGUACAAGCCAUUUGUGGAAUAGCUUCCUUUUCCAUUUACGAACAAAGAGCACAUUCAGGUUUACAACUGAACGCAGGAGUAUGAAGAAUCACUAGGCUUGUUCAUAGUUAUUCAAGUAAAAUUAUUUGAGAUGCAUUUAGUGAUGAAACCACGUCAAAAUACAAAAUAUUUAUAAGGGGAGAAAGAGCUCCAUUUAGUAAAUAUGUAAGAAUGAUAGAGAUUCUCUUCAUAGUCAGGAGAAGCCAGCCUGACACAGGCUGGUGGCAACAUCAGGGCUUUCAGAAUGAAUCUACGCAUGGACACCAUGCAUAGAUUUUUCAUCUAAUCACUGCACAGCCCAACACAGCCACAGCCAUAGAGAAGUAAUGUAAGAAAUAAAUAGCUAGAUGGACUGGAUUACAUGCAGGUGAACUAGGCCAUUGCUAGUGAGAUCGGGAAGUGGUUCAUCAUGGAAAUUUCUCUUCACACAGUUUGUAAUCUGGCAUUCCAUGAUUAGGAAUUUAUUUCUUUGGCUAGAAGCUUUGCACUCUAUAACAAUUUAAAUCAUUCCAUUGAAAAAACAUAAUAAUCCUUCUUAGUCAAUGAACAUUAGUGAUGAAGUUUAUCAAAUUCUUUACAGUUGUGAUGGGAAAGAACAAAUUUUGUUUUUUGGGGAGAGUUUUGAUAGACUACAUAUAUCUGUAAAAGUCUUUAAAAAUGCACUUAAUUUCCUAAGAUCCCAUCCAUAUAGAUUUAAAAAGGCAGAAUAAAAAUGAAACUUUCUACCAUGUUCAUAGUCAAUUCCAAAAGCAAUCUGUCAAGGGAAUUCUGUAGUUGGUUGAGUUAUUUAUAAUCUAAUAAGAUCAGAUGAUAUUUUCUGGUACAGUUCUCUUGGUGUAAAUCUUCAUGAACAAUACCAGUUUAAGGUUUUUUUUCUUCUGCUGAAGGCAAAAUAUCCAGACAGCAGUUAGAUAUUUUUUAAAAAUCUUUUAAAUAUUAUUUUUUAAUUAAAUAACUGUAAAUAUUUAUGGGUAAAAUGUGCUAUUUUGAUAUAUGUAUACAACCCAUGUAGUCCUCCCUCUACUCUGAAGAAAAUAGAUAUUGACCCAGCUCUACUGGGGUAGGUUUAUUGUAUACAAAGGUGUAAGUUUUCUGCCAAAGGCUUAAGAGUUAUCAUCAAAACACUAGAGGCACAAAUCUAAACUCUAGAAAGCAUGUGUGGCAACUCCCAAAUCUGUCUCAUAAUAGAUGCCUGGUAAUAGUAAUGUCUGAAUUUUUUUUAAAUUUGGGAUCUUUUCAAACAUUAUAUUUGUAUAUUUCCUCAUUUUAUCACUGCAUUUUCAUAGAGGAAGAUAUAAAUCAACAAUUUUUACUGAUGUAGUAAUUGAAUCUUAGAGUAGCUAUGACAACCAAAUCUUUAAAAAAAGAAAAAGUGCCUGUGGUUCUAUUCUAUGAACUACAGUUCCUUUCUUAUUCAGGCAUCUCCUUCUUUGUUUCCCAAUGCAAGACACAGAAAUCUCUCAAGGUUUCCUUUAAGAAUAUAUUUCUACACUUUUCAGAAUAAAGUUUCUGAAGUCCAUUCUAGGGGCAGGUAAGAGCCCAGACUCUGGACAUUUAAAACUACCCAUGGGAUCUAACAUCUGAGUACCAUGAUAGAUUCUUUUUGCCCUUCUCUCUUAUUUCAGUGCACCUGAACUGAAGUUGUAAUUCUUGGAGAGUUUCAGAAUGGGAAUGCAGACCUGGGUGCUAGCUACUCUCUGCAUGUUAAAAGGAAUCCUACUGCCAUUUGUUUUCCUAUUAAAUGACAUUUCAAAUACUUUAUUAUAAACAUAAAUCACAUCUUUCAAGAAGGUAAAUGACAAACCAAAUUUGAGAUCUGGCUUGCAUUUCUACACCCUACCCAAGACUAAAUAGAUGAACAGUUGCUUUAUAGAUUGUAACUGAAAGAUAAACAAAGAGAGACAGUAUAUUAUAGAAAACACAUCACUUGAAACUGACAUCUGCCCUUUAAUUCACGAACAUCAUCCAAAACCCUGUCACUUCACUUGACAUCUGUUACAUACCCUGAUGCAUGAAGUUGUGGAAAAGAGCAAUCUUAUUUGCAGUUGGUGAGAAAAAAAAUUAUAUAUACAUAUAUAUGUGUGUGUGUGUGUGUGUGUGUGUAAACUUUUUAAACUGCUUUACCUAUAGAUAUGAGUUCAUCUUCAUCAGUGUUUUAAAAAGACAAUGCUGUUGUUCACACACUAGUCCACCUACAUCUAGUAAUGGAUGCUGAGAUGCUAAAAGUCCUCUGUGCCCAAAUAAACAUCCUCUGUGAUAUAGAAAACUUCCACUAUUAAUUUUAUUUCUUUGAAUUAAAGCAUCUCAAGAAGAUUCUCAUGAGAUGUCCACAUAGAACCUGGGAUGAGUCACUCAUGAAUACAUUUGUACUAAUUAUCAUCAGUUAUUACAUUAAUGGAGAAAGGUUCCUUUGAAGCAGAAAAAGGAAGAACUGCAAUAGAAUGAGACAAUGAGUGAGAGACAUCUGGAGUCUAUACGUAGACCUUUGCUACCUGCAGUGCAACCGUUUCAGCCUCACCUGGGAAAUUGUUAGAAAUGCAAAUUCUCAGGUUCCACCCAGUCCCUACUAAAGUGGCAUGCUUGGGAGUGAAGCCCAGGAAUCUGCAUUUUAACAAGCUCUUGAGAUGCUUCUGAUGCUUGCUAACAUUUGUCAAGCACUGGUCUAAACUUGAGAAUAGUGGGAUCCACUGGCAGAUUAAGAGUGGAUAAGUAGACCUGGAAGAAGUAUCUCACACACCACUUAUGUUUAUUUUACACAUUUAUUUACAUUUGCCAUGAUUUCAGUUAUGUUUAACCUCAAACAUAAUACAAAAUUAAAUUGCCAGUAUAAAUUUAUACCCCAAAACUCCUACGAUAUUUGCAUAUGUCAUAAUGACAUCACUGGUUAAAAAUGCUUACAUUUAACAAGUAUAUAAUUUCAGAAGUUUUGGGAGUGUUCCCGACGGCAAUUAAAAUUUUAAAGAAUCAUUAUCUAUGCAAGCGUUGUUAUAUCUGAAGCCACUGCUAAGUCUUUGAGCAUUAAUGGUACAAAAACAAAAUGAUAAUAAACCACCAAAAAAUACUACCUGGAAUCAAAGGGUUUAAAGAGACUUGUGAAGUCAUCCAUAAUCUCUCAGCUUGUAGAUUCUAAUUGUGCUCACUAAGGGUGAGUCCUUCUACACAGGAGAUUUGGCUCUGAAGAAGAUGAAGCUGGUGACUCAGCAAGAAGAGGGUGGACUGGGCUGGAGAUGGGCUGCCUUGGCCUCAGGACACAGGAGCUGAACUGAGGCCCCCUGACUAGGAAGCACCUUUCUUCCCUAAAUCUGCCAUGGACUUUGAUUAGGAGGGUUCUUACCGGCUUCCUGUGGGGACAAACUAUUGGCUCUGUGGCAACUUGGAAAUCACUUCUGCUCCUUAAAAAAAUCUAAGAUUUUGUCCAGGCAUGGUGGCUCACACCUGUAAUUCCAACAUUUUGGGAGGCCAAGACGGGAGGAUCAUGAGGUCAGGAGUUGGAGACCAGCCUGACCAACAUGGUCAAACCCCGUCUCUACUAAAAAUACAAAAAUUAGCUGGGCAUGGUGGUGUGCUCCUGUAAUCCCAGCUACUCAGGGGGCUAAGGCAGGAGAAUCACUUGAACCCGGGAGGUGGAGGUUGCAGUGAGCUGAGAUCACAUCACUGCACUCCAACCUGGGUGAAAGCAUGAGACUCCGUCUCAAAAUAUAUAUAUAAGAUUUUAAAAAAUGGAUUUGUUUUCCUCAAAAUGAAGGAUUGUAGUAGAUCAAUGUUUUCUUAUUACAGAAACAAAUUAUGUAAUUUAUAGAAAAAGUGGGAAAUCCAGGUAAACAAAGUACAAAAUAAACACUGACAUACUUCCUUCCCAGGGAUGAGCAGUUACUUUAGCAUAUAUCUCUGCAGAUCUUUUUGUUGUUGUUUUACAAAAAUAAAGUCAAUACUGUAUGUUAUCAUCUACGUUGUUCACCUAUCAAUAUGUCCUAACACGUUUUCAUGUCAAUAAUUGCUCUUCUGUAACACCUUUAAUGGCUACUGAGCGUUCCAUUUUAUGGUUGUAUCAUAAUUUAUUUACCAAAUUCCCAAUUGUUUCCUAUACGCAAUUUCUAAUUUGUCACUAUUAUAAAGUGUGUUCUGGUGAUUCAUCCUGAUAGUUAUGUUUUUAUGCCUGUCCUUAAAAAUUCCCAACAAUAAAUUUGUAAAAUAUUUA
rnacentral:lncRNA from 1 species